UACGGAGGGAGCGAGCGUUGUCCGAAGUUACUGGGCGGAAAGCGCGCGUAGGCGGGAAAUUAAGUGAGAAGUGAAAGGCUGGGGCUCAACCCCAUGCAGUGCUCCUCAUACUGGUUUUCUUGAGGGUGGUAGAGAGAAGUGGAAUGGCUGGUGUAGCGGUGAAAUGCGUAGAUAUCAGUCGGAACACCAGUGGCGAAGGCGGCUUCUUGGGCCAUUACUGACGCUGAGGCGCGAAAGCCAGGGGAGCGAACGGG
rnacentral:rRNA from 1 species